CAUUCUGUUUGCCUAGAUGGCUUAGGAGGUGCUGCAUGCACUUUAUUUUUUUAUUUGUUUGUUUGUUUAUUUCUCCACUAGCCUUUUCUUUCUUUCUUUCUUUCUUUCUUUCUCAUCCACAGCUUCCAGGCUUGUAACCUGAUUGAACUUAUUCAGAAGUUCGAUCCCAAACCCACGAACCUUCGGACCGAACCACCGGAUCGCAGACUGGUUUUGCACAUUCCUAGUUGGUGAGCACCUUCAGUCCAUGGAUCCGACAUAAUGGAGGCGCCACCGAAAUGCAGUUAAUGGCGAUGAGACUCACCACAAACCAAA